rnacentral:rRNA from 1 species
AGAGCUUGUAGGCGGUUGGUUGCGUCGAAAGUGCAAACUCAGGGCUUAACUCUGAGCCUGCUUUCGAUACGGGCUGACUGGAGGAAGGUAGGGGAGAAUGGAAUUCCCGGUGGAGCGGUGGAAUGCGCAGAUAUCGGGAGGAACACCAGUGGCGAAGGCGGUUCUCUGGACCUUUCCUGACGCUGAGAAGCGAAAGCGUGGGGAGCAAACAGGCUUAGAUACCCUGGUAGUCCACGCUGUAAACGGUGGGUACUAGGUGUGGGGGACAUUCCACGUUCUCUGUGCCGUAGCUAACGCAUUAAGUACCCCGCCUGGGGAGUACGGCCGCAAGGCUAAAACUCAAAGGAAUUGACGGGGCCCCGCACAAGCGGCGGAGCAUGCGGAUUAAUUCGAUGCAACGCGAAGAACCUUACCUGGGUUUGACAUAUAUCGGAAACGUUCAGAGAUGGGCGCCCCGUAAGGUCGGUAUACAGGUGGUGC